UAUAUAUUAGUGUUAAAUGCACAAAAAUUUUUGAAUUUUUUAGUAAUAAUUAAAAUUAUUAUAUAUAU
rnacentral:tRNA from 1 species